AGUGAACGCUGGCGGUAGGCCUAACACAUGCAAGUCGAACGGCAGCACAGUAAGAGCUUGCUCUUACGGGUGGCGAGUGGCGGACGGGUGAGGAAUACAUCGGAAUCUACUUUUUCGUGGGGGAUAACGUAGGGAAACUUACGCUAAUACCGCAUACGACCUACGGGUGAAAGCAGUGGAUCUUCGGACCUUGCGCGAUUGAAUGAGCCGAUGUCGGAUUAGCUAGUUGGCGGGGUAAAGGCCCACCAAGGCGACGAUCCGUAGCUGGUCUGAGAGGAUGAUCAGCCACGCUGGAACUGAGACACGGUCCAGACUCCUACGGGAGGCAGCAGUGGGGAAUAUUGGACAAUGGGCGCAAGCCUGAUCCAGCCAUACCGCGUGGGUGAAGAAGGCCUUCGGGUUGUAAAGCCCUUUUGUUGGGAAAGAAAAGCAGCAGGUUAAUACCCCGCUGUUCUGACGGUACCCAAAGAAUAAGCACCGGCUAACUUCGUG
rnacentral:rRNA from 1 species